UGAAUACGAGAUGCUACGGCGUCGAAGCAGUCUAUGUCAUACUUCCAAGAAAAGCUUGCACUGUCAUAAACAAAUAACGCCUGUACCAUAACCGACACAGGUGGGUAGGUAGAGUAUACUAAGGGGCGCGAGAUAACUCUCUCUAGGAACUCGGCAAAAUGACUCCGUAACUUCGGGAGAAGGAGUGCCUUAUUUAUAAGGUUGCAAUAACAAGAUCCAAGCAACUGUUUACCAAAAACACAGGUCUCCGCUAAGUCGUAAGACGAUGUAUGGGGGCUGACGCCUGCCCAGUGCCAGAAGGUUAAAGAAGUUGGUUAGCAUCCGCGAAGCUGAUAACUGAAGCCCUGGUGAACGGCGGCCGUAACGAUAACGGUCCUAAGGUAGCGAAAUUCCUUGUCGGGUAAGUUCCGACCCGCACGAAAGGCGUAAUGAUUUGGAUACUGUCUCGGAGAGGGGCUCGGUGAAAUAGACUUGUCUGUGAAGAUGCGGACUACCUGCACCAGGACAGAAAGACCCUAUGAAGCUUUACUGUAACCUGAAAUUGAAAUUGGACUUUACUUGCGCAGUAUAGGUGGGAGGCGUUGAGAAUAUUCUUGCGGGAUUAUUGGAGCCAUCAGUGAGAUACCACUCUUGUAAUGUUAGAUUUCUAACUUUGUAUCAUUAUCUGGUCAAAGAACAGUUUCAGGCGGGCAGUUUGACUGGGGCGGUCGCCUCCUAAACGGUAACGGAGGCGCACAAAGGUUUCCUCUGAACGGGUAGAAAUCGUAUCUAGAGUGUAAAGGCAUAAGGAAGCUUGACUGUGAGACCUACAAGUCGAGCAGGGACGAAAGUCGGUCUUAGUGAUCUGACGGUGCUGAGUGGAAAGGCCGUCACUCAACGGAUAAAAGUUACUCUAGGAUAACAGGCUGAUCUCCCCCAAGAGUUCACAUCGACGGGGAGGUUUGGCACCUCGAUGUCGGCUCAUCGCAUCCUGGGGCGGUAGUACGUCCCAAGGGUUGGGCUGUUCGCCCAUGAAAGCGGUACGCGAGCUGGGUUCAGAACGUCGUGAGACAGUUCGGUCCAUAUCCGGUGUAGGCGUUAGAAUAUUGAGAGGAGCCUUCUUUAGUACGAGAGGACCGAGAAGGACAUACCUCUGGUGUACCAGUUAUCGUGCCAACGGUAAACGCUGGGUAGCUAUGUGUGGAGUGGAUAACCGCUGAAAGCAUCUAAGUGGGAAGCCCACCUCAAGAUAAG
rnacentral:rRNA from 1 species